CUUUCCUUUAACUGUGGUUAGCAGUGAACAAAGAGUUGGAGGUAAUUGCGUUUUCCUGUCUAUCAUUCUUUCUCCCUGUUGAGUGAAGAGAAGUGUGACAGGGACAUACCUUGAGUGACAAACAUUGAUCUCUGGAGGCAGGAUGGGCAGUUCUCUGUUUCUAAUUAAUGACAUUAUUCUUUCAAGUUUUGAAAAGGACACCCUCAGCCCUGGCAAAUUGCUGCCCCUGUUAAGGCUUGGUCGACAUGUAAUUAUAUCAACACAAGAAGAGGAUGGAGUGGUUGAGUUGCGAUUUCUUUUCCAGUGGAGCUACAUUGUGCAGUUCCUCACGUGCACCCUUUGUAGACAGACUGACUGCUACAGCUUAUCCUGCUGCUCUGUGAGGGAAUAAACACUUCGGAGGCCACGUGUACAAAGUGCGUAGAUCACAGCAUGCCGCGUAUCGGGUGUCUCUGACAGCUGGCGACACACUUGCAAUGCCUGCAUGGCUCCGGUAUUUUCAAAUGCAAGAGGGAGCCCAAAGACUUCAAAGGUUUCAUGAGGUUUGCUCGUAAAUUCUCUUUUACUCCAGGUGGUGCUUCCGUGUGUUUAAAAGUUUGAAAAAAGUAAUCCUUGUUUUCAAAGUGAAUAGAUGAUCAACCCUGAAAAGCAGACACUGCCCUGACCACAUACCAAUGCUUUUUGAAGUCCUGAAGAGCAUUCUGAGGGCUACUGCCUUUUGUUUUUUUUCCUUUCCCAACAUAUAUAAUAUAGUUUCUCAUUUUAUUUUAUAUACAAUUUGUUGUGCUAUUUAUGAAGAAUUUUUUUAAUCAGAAAAUCUCUGUGAGAAGAGUUAACUGGAACGAAAGCAAGUAAACCUGACAUGAUAAAUUCUGGAAACUAUAUUCUUCCCAUACCUCUUUUUAUUGAAAACCAUGCCUGUCCUUUCUUGUAUUUCACUAUUGUAUAGUAAUGUAUUUCUUGAUAUUGCAAGUUAUUUUUCACUAUUUUCAGCUAUUGUUUUAUAUAUCUUUUAAAAAUAACAUAUCAUAGCUUCAGCAAUUUAUAUGAUGAUUUCUCUGAUGGAAGUAAAUGGAAAUCCCAGCUGAGUUUCUGUCUCCGAUAUGCUAAUUACUAGACAAAAUAAAA
rnacentral:lncRNA from 1 species